rnacentral:rRNA from 1 species
GUCCACAGCCAUACCACCUUGAACAUGCCUGAUCUCAUCUAAUCUCAGAAGCUAAGCAGGGUUAGGCCCUGGUUAGUACAUGGAUGGGAAAGAAAUAUACAGAGAGAAAGAGAGAAAAGUAGGUAGGUGGGUA